GAUGAACGCUGGCGGCGUGCCUAAUACAUGCAAGUCGAGCGAAUGGAUUAAGAGCUUGCUCUUAUGAAGUUAGCGGCGGACGGGUGAGUAACACGUGGGUAACCUGCCCAUAAGACUGGGAUAACUCCGGGAAACCGGGGCUAAUACCGGAUAACAUUUUGAACCGCAUGGUUCGAAAUUGAAGGGCGGCUUCGGCUGUCACUUAUGGAUGGACCCGCGUCGCAUUAGCUAGUUGGUGAGGUAACGGCUCACCAAGGCAACGAUGCGUAGCCGACCUGGGAGAGUGAUCGGCCACACUGGGACUGAGACACGGCCCAGACUCCUACGGGAGGCGGCAGUAGGGAAUCUUCCGCAAUGGACGAAAGUCUGACGGAGCAACGCCGCGUGAGUGAUGAAGGCUUUCGGGUCGUAAAACUCUGUUGUUAGGGAAGAACAAGUGCUAGUUGAAUAAGCUGACACCUUGACGGUACCUAACCAGAAAGCCACGGCUAACUACGUGCCAGCCGCCGCGGUAA
rnacentral:rRNA from 1 species